rnacentral:rRNA from 1 species
GCGCAGCAGUCGCGCAACCUCUGCAAUACGCGAAAGCGUGACAGGGCUACCCCGAGUGCCGUCCGCUGAGGAUGGCUUUUCUCCGGUGUAGUAAGCCGGAGGAAUAAGGAGAGGGCAAGUCUGGUGUCAGCCGCCGCGGUAAUACCAGCUCUCCGAGUGGUAGGGACGAUUAUUGGGCCUAAAGCGUCCGUAGCCGGCCAAGCAAGUUUCCCGUUAAAUCCAGCGAUCCAAUCGUUGGACUGCAGGAAAUACUGUUUGGCUAGGUGGCGAGAGAGGCCAACGGUAUUCCCGGGGUAGGAGUGAAAUCCUCUGAUCCCGGGAGGACCUGCAGUGGCGAAGGCGGGUAGCCAGAACGCGCUCGACGGUGAGGGGCGAAAGCUGGGGGAGCGAACCGGAUUAGAUACCCCGGUAGUCC